rnacentral:rRNA from 1 species
UCUGGUUGAUCCUGCCAGUAGUCAUAUGCUUGUCUCAAAGAUUAAGCCAUGCAUGUCUAAGUAUAAGCAAUUUAUACAGUGAAACUGCGAAUGGCUCAUUAAAUCAGUUAUCGUUUAUUUGAUAGUUCCUUUACUACAUGGUAUAACUGUGGUAAUUCUAGAGCUAAUACAUGCUUAAAAUCUCGACCCUUUGGAAGAGAUGUAUUUAUUAGAUAAAAAAUCAAUGUCUUCGGACUCUUUGAUGAUUCAUAAUAACUUUUCGAAUCGCAUGGCCUUGUGCUGGCGAUGGUUCAUUCAAAUUUCUGCCCUAUCAACUUUCGAUGGUAGGAUAGUGGCCUACCAUGGUUUCAACGGGUAACGGGGAAUAAGGGUUCGAUUCCGGAGAGGGAGCCUGAGAAACGGCUACCACAUCCAAGGAAGGCAGCAGGCGCGCAAAUUACCCAAUCCUAAUUCAGGGAGGUAGUGACAAUAAAUAACGAUACAGGGCCCAUUCGGGUCUUGUAAUUGGAAUGAGUACAAUGUAAAUACCUUAACGAGGAACAAUUGGAGGGCAAAGUCUGGUA